rnacentral:lncRNA from 1 species
CAAACUUGGAAGCUUCUUUCAAUCAAAAGACAGUAUCGAGAGGGAAAUUUUUAUUGAUGUUUUUCCUCAUUUUGUUGAGUCUGCGAUUAACAGCAAAAGUAGGCGAGACACUGGGUUCCGCGGAACCCUUACGAAUUUUUGUUUUUAAAAUAUGAAGAUCUAAGUUUUGACCAGAAGCUAUUCACUUCUUUUUUAACGCUUAUGGUUGUCAAUUGAUCUUAAUCCUUUUCCUUUCAAAAAAAUUAAAUUAGAAAAUAAAUUGCUUAUUUCUUUGGCUCAAUAAUUUCACUCUAGAGCAAAUAAAGUUUCAUGAAAUUUAUUAAAAAUCUCAAAAACUACUUAAGUGAACUUAUCUUUAAUAUUUGCAUGAACCAUUUCUUGGCAGUGUUAAAGAAAUGAAAAAAAAACAACAUGUAAAUAAAUGAUCUUACAGAUGAUAAAAUGAAUGAAAAAAUUCUAGAUUGUGCAACCAUACCUUUUUAACUAUCUACAAAACUUUUUACUACUCUGGCAAAAAUGUGAUCACAGACUUACUAGAACUAGCUGUUUAACAGAGAAAGUAUAAGGAAAAUAUUGUAUUGUCUUUGUGAGCUCCAUUUUAAAAGAAAUCAACAAUUUCAUUUUUAAAAUAUCAUAGCUCAUCAUACAAUCCACAGAUAAUUACAUUUUUGGGUUUUUUUUUAAAUAUAUUUUGUUCUCAGUCCUAAAAACAGAAUUUUUGUACAAUAAAUUUAAUAUAUUUAAAAAAAAAAUUAUGCCUUCCUCUCACCAAAUUUCAGAUUGAUAAUCUGUCCAGGCCUGUUUAAAAAAAACUAAUAAAUAUCAAUUGUGGCUGUAUUUACAGGAAAUAUUGGUUAAACUGAAAAGAGACUAAACAAAAAUCUGUAAUUGUUAAAAAUCAUAAAUUAAAUGUCUAAAAUACUUUUAUGAACAGAUUGUUUAUGACAGUACCUAUUUAGUUCAUUAUGUACACAAAUGAAUCACAUAAAGAAAUAAAAAUCCUUCUUAAAUCAUAUGCAUGUAUUCCAAACUUAUGAAAUUGCUAACUCAUAUCAUGCUACAAAAAGACUUCAUAUUAUUAAAUAACAAAAAUGUCCUGAAAUCUAUUUAAAUAACAAUAAAAACUUAACAAAUUAUCAAAGAGAUAAUUAAUGAAUGAAUAUUUAACUUUUCUUGAGAAAGCUAAAAGAAUGUUCUUGUCAUUAAUGACCCAGAGUUUAUGAAACUUACAACAAACAUGAAACUAUUUUAAAACAAGAAUGUGUCCUCAGUACACGAAUGCCCCACUCGCACUAUCAUUUUCUAUGUUCAGUGGACCGUGAAAUUGGGGUAAAAUCUCUAAUUUGGCAUUAAAAUUAGAAAGAUCAUAUCAUAGGGAACAUGUGUACCAAGUUUGAAGUCGAUUGGACUUCAACUCAUCAAAACUACCUCGACCAAAAACUUUAACCUGAAGCGGGACAGACGGACGAACGGACGAACGGACGAACGAACAGACGAACGGACGCACAGACCAGAAAACAUAAUGCCCCUCUACUAUCGUAGGUGGGGCAUAAAAAAGGACCAAUUUUGACCUUAAUGAUCCACUUUCUUAAACAAGUAUAUGAUUAAGCAGUAAUACACAAAAAUAUGUAUUACAUAAAAACUUAGCAUUGAAUGGAUGCCUAGCCAAUCAGCCUAAAGAUGAGUUUUAAUCCAUUUUAAUACUCAAGACUGCAGCAGACACAUAUAUAAUACUUAUAAUGGUUUACCUAAAAAAAUAUGGAAUGAACUGACAUUCUGUACAUAACUUAUACAUACCAAGCACACAAAAAUUCAAAGAUGGAAACAUCACAAAAAAAUAAUAAGUUUAUCAAUAAUACAAUUAAUAACCAAUAUCUCAGUGCUUUGAAGAUACAUUCAGUUAUCUCCCCUUCUUGAAAUGUUCUUGACAAUAAAUAUAAUAGUUUUCUUUUCUAAUUCUUUCAGUCAAUAAUAACCCUAUUUUUUUUUCUAUUCAGUUUCAACAUCACAUAUAAUAUUGAAUUGGAAUUUAAUCUUGAACAAACAAAUAGAGGCAUAUUUUUUCUUCAUUUUUUUUACCAUAAUUCUAUUUCCAAAACGUGUUGGAAAAUAAGACCAUUCAUAUUGACUACGUUUCCUGUAUUUCAAGUCAUAUUUUACCAGUAAUCUUCUAUCACAGAUAAAAUUAUUGCUAUAAAAACAAUUUUUACAACAAUGUUAACAUUAUUGACAAAGACAUUUUACAUAAACUUUUAUGGUUUUACAUAUACAUGUACAAUGACAAUAUCAAACAAAUAUACAUACUUACAUAUGUCAAUAAAACUUAAUGAAAGACACAGGGUAAACAGUUUAAUGUCAUUCUCUAUGGUUAGAUCUUUGUCUUUAUUUUUUAAAUAUUACAUAAAAGAUUUGCAAGAAGUGAGGGUUUCAAAUUAUUACACAAUAUCAUCUAUUCGUAAAUUUCACAUUUUAGUCUGUCACUGCAAUACAUGUAUAACUAAAUGCCCACAUAUUCCUAUUAUAUAAUAAAUAAAAUUAUCUAUACACAUUCUGAUUAGAAUAACUAAGAUAUUACAAUAUUCUGAGGAAUUCUGCAAAUCAAGAGGCAUUCUUUAUACAUACAUUGCUACUUUUAUUAUUUUAGUAACACUUCUGGUGAAAAAUCAGUUUUAAGUUUUGACAUUUACUCGUCAUUUAACAAAAAGAGUACCAUAUAUAACAUUGUAAUCCAAGCUCCAAGUUUGCAAUUUUAGACAAAUACAACUGGAGCCGUAUGUGUGAUAAACCAGUUUCUUGCAACUGAUCAGUGUACUUUGAAUCUUAUAUAAUAGCUUGGAAUUACAUGUAUUUAGUAGUUCAUACAAACAAUUAGGAAAUAUGCUCUAUUUUUUUUGUAAACAUAGACAAAAUAAAAAUGAAAAGUUAAGCAGAUGGAUCAAUUUCAUCUAAUAAGCCAUUACUUUUUGUUUGUUUUUGAACAAAUAGAAUUUGAAAUUUGUAAAUGUUCAAAAACUUAUCUUUUCUUCACUUCCGUGCCUUGUCAUUAUAUAAAAUACAUCAACAUGGAUCACAGAAAAUAAAUUACUAAUUACAAAAUAUACAAUACUGGUUUCAGCAUCAGUUAAUCGGGCUGUAAGCGUUACAGCUCUUAGCAAAUAAAUCGGACAGUAGAAUCUUUGAAUAUUUUGAAUUAUAUACAUGUACUGUGUUUUUGCUAGCUGAUGAAUAAAUUAUUUUACAAAUUUUGCUUAAUGCAUGCAUCUCUUAUGUAGAUACAAAUCACACUCCUACUGCCAUUUUGUUCAUGGGUCCCCCAUCCCCCCCCCUUUUUUUUUAAAAAUCAUCCACCCACAUCAAUGCAUCAACAAACUGUUAUCAGCUUAAAAAUAUAGAUAAAAUUCAAAAUUCAACAUGUUAAUAUCUUGAUACAAUAUCACAGAUUCACUUUGAUGGUGACAGGCUUAACAAAUCACUAUGUAGUUUACACUCAUAUUUCAACACAUUGUCAAGAAAAAACAGAACUGUAGAAUGUUGUAUAAUUACAAAUAGAGAUCAAAGAAAUCGGAAAAGACUAGA